CCCUUAGAUGUUCUGGGCCGCACGCGUGCUACACUGAGUGGAUCAGCGGGUCAGGUUGCGCGAAAGCGUUUCCUAAUCUUUAAAUCCGCUCGUGAUGGGGAUUGACGGUUGCAAUUUUCUGUCAUGAACGAGGAAUACCUUGUAAGCGCGGGUCAUCGUCCCGCGCUGAAUACGUCCCUGCCCUUUGUACACACCGCCCGUCGCUCCUACCGAUUGAGUGGUCCGGUGAGGCUUUGGGAUCUGAGCGGAAAGAGCGUUUCGCUGUUUCUGCUCGGAAAACUCAGUCGAACCUUAUCAUUUAGAGGAAGGAGAAGUCGUAACA
rnacentral:rRNA from 1 species